GGACAUAGAAAGAAAAAGUGAUAAAAUAAAUAGUAAGAGUCAUUCAUGAACAGAAAAGGUCGUUCAUGAAAGAUCAUAUGUGAAUAGUAAGAGUCAUGUGUAAAUAGUAAGAGUCAUUAUGUAAAAGUUUUUUGUUUUCUAGUGUUGGCCGAAAUAAAAAAGGCCAUGUGUAAAGUAGUGUCGGCCACUUGGCCAAAGCAGUA
rnacentral:lncRNA from 1 species